rnacentral:rRNA from 1 species
AGUGAACGCUGGCGGUAGGCCUAACACAUGCAAGUCGAACGGCAGCACAGUAAGAGCUUGCUCUUACGGGUGGCGAGUGGCGGACGGGUGAGGAAUACAUCGGAAUCUACUUUUUCGUGGGGGAUAACGUAGGGAAACUUACGCUAAUACCGCAUACGACCUACGGGUGAAAGCAGGGGAUCUUCGGACCUUGCGCGAUUGAAUGAGCCGAUGUCGGAUUAGCUAGUUGGCGGGGUAAAGGCCCACCAAGGCGACGAUCCGUAGCUGGUCUGAGAGGAUGAUCAGCCACGCUGGAACUGAGACACGGUCCAGACUCCUACGGGAGGCAGCAGUGGGGAAUAUUGGACAAUGGGCGCAAGCCUGAUCCAGCCAUACCGCGUGGGUGAAGAAGGCCUUCGGGUUGUAAAGCCCUUUUGUUGGGAAAGAAAAGCGGCAGGUUAAUACCCCGCUGUUCUGACGGUACCCAAAGAAUAAGCACCGGCUAACUUCGUG